UACGUAGGGAGCGAGCGUUGUCCGGAUUUACUGGGUGUAAAGGGUGCGUAGGCGGCUUUUUAAGUCAGGUGUGAAAACCGUGGGCUUAACUCACGGAUUGCAUUUGAAACUGAGGGGCUUGAGUGGAGCAGAGGCAGGCGGAAUUCCCGGUGUAGCGGUGAAAUGCGUAGAGAUCGGGAGGAACACCAGUGGCGAAGGCGGCCUGCUGGGCUUUAACUGACGCUGAGGCACGAAAGCAUGGGUAGCAAACAGGAUUAGAUACC
rnacentral:rRNA from 1 species